rnacentral:rRNA from 1 species
UACGUAGGGACCAAGCGUUGUUCGGAUUUACUGGGCGUAAAGGGCGCGUAGGCGGCCAGCGCAAGUCAGUUGUGAAAUCUCCGGGCUUAACCCGGAAAGGUCAGCCGAUACUGCGGGGCUAGAGUGCAGAAGGGGCAACUGGAAUUCUCGGUGUAGCGGUGAAAUGCGUAGAUAUCAAGAGGAACACCUGCGGCGAAGGCGGGUUGCUGGGCCGACACUGACGCUGAGGCGCGAAAGCUAGGGGAGCGAACGGG